rnacentral:rRNA from 1 species
CCUACGGGGGGCAGCAGUGGGGGAUAUUGCACAUUGGGGGGAACCCUGAUGCAGCGACGCCGCGUGGGUGAAGGAGCGUUUCGGCGCGUAAAGCCCUAUCGGCAGGGAAGCAGGAGGACGGUACCUGACUAAGAAGCCCCGGCUCACUACGUGCCAGCAGCCGCGGUAAUCCGUAGGGGGCAAGCGUUAUCCGGAUUUACUGGUGGUAAUGGGGGCGCAGACGGCAGCGCAAGCCAGGAGUGAAAGCCCGGGGGCCAACGCCGGGACUGCUCUUGGAACUGCGCGGCUGGAGUGCAGGAGGGGCAGGCGGAAUGCCUGGGGUAGCGGUGAAAUGAGUAGAUAUCAGGAGGAACACCGGUUGCGAAGGCGGCCUGCUGGACUGCGACUGACGUUGAGGCCCGAAAGCGUGGGGAGCAAACAGGAUUAGAUACCCCGGUAGUC